GACGUAGGGCGCGAGCGUUGUCCGGAUUUAUUGGGCGUAAAGAGCUCGUAGGCGGCUUGUCGCGUCGUCCGUGAAAACCUGUGGCUCAACUGCAGGCUUGCGGUCGAUACGGGCAGGCUGGAGUUCGGUAGGGGAGACUGGAAUUCUCGGUGUAGCAGUGAAAUGCGUAGAUAUCGAGAGGAACACCAGUGGCGAAGGCGAGUCUCUGGACGACUCCUGACACUGAGGCACGAAAGCCGGGGGAGCAAACAGG
rnacentral:rRNA from 1 species